rnacentral:tRNA from 3 species
GCGAGAGUGGCGGAAUUGGUAGACGCGCUGGUCUUAGGAACCAGUAUCCUAUGAUGUGGGGGUUCGAGUCCCCCCUCUCGCACCA